GCACUUGAACAAAGCAAGUGCCAGCCGUGAGAAGCUGAAAAAUACAAAGGCGAAUAGCACGCCUCAAGCGUGUUUUUU
rnacentral:sRNA from 1 species